GAGACACCCUUAUGGGGCAGGACUUGCUUCAGUGGGGCUUUGGUGCUCACUGAGUCUGCCCUCUAAAUGUGUCUCU
rnacentral:pre_miRNA from 1 species